rnacentral:tRNA from 1 species
CACGGUGGUGGUGCGGGGGGGCUCGGCGGCGCUGCUGGUGUUGUCGCUGUACUGGACGGUGCAGCGGAUCGCUUUUUCGGGCUGAGCCACCGCGCC